GCACUGUUGACGAGUCCCAAACAGGACUAAACAGCUGUCCAGUGC
rnacentral:hammerhead_ribozyme from 1 species